rnacentral:rRNA from 1 species
GACGAACGCUGGCGGCGUGCUUAACACAUGCAAGUCGAACGACGUGGCGAACGGGUGAGUAAUACGUGGGUACCCUGCCCUCCUUUUUGGGAUAAGCCUUGGAAACGGAGUCUAAUACCGGAUAAAGGGGGAUGGGCUCGCGGCCUAGCAGCUGGUUGGUGGGGUGCUGGCCUACCAAGGCGGUGACGGGUAGCCGGCCUGAGAGGGGGACCGGCACUGAGGCGACGGCGAUACGGCCCAGAGUCCUACCGGAGGCGGCUGUGGGGGAUAGGGCGCAAGGGGCGAAAGCCUAAGGCAGCGACGCCGCGUGGGGGAUGAAGGCGUUAGGGUUGUAAACCUCGUUGGAUAUCGAACGGGUACGUGGAGAAGAAGCGCCGGCUAACUACGGGCCAGCAGCCGCGGUAAUAC